rnacentral:rRNA from 1 species
GUAGGUGGCAAGCGUUGUCCGGAAUUAUUGGGGCGUAAAGCGCGCGCAGGCGGUCCUUUUAAGGUCUGAUGUGAAAGCCCACGGGCUCAACCGUGGGAGGGGUCAUUGGAAACUGGGGGACUUGAGUGCAGAAGAGGAGAGUGGAAUUCCACGUGUAGCGGUGAAAUGCGUAGAGAUGUGGAGGAACACCAGUGGCGAAGGCGACUCUCUGGUCUGUAACUGACGCUGAGGCGCGAAAGCGUGGGGAGCGAACAGGAUUAGAUACCCUGGUAGUCCACGCCGUAAACGAUGAGUGCUAAGUGUUAGAGGGUUUCCGCCCUUUAGUGCUGCAGCUAACGCAUUAAGCACUCCGCCUGGGGAGUACGGUCGCAAAGACUG